rnacentral:rRNA from 1 species
GUGUCAGCCGCCGCGGUAAGACGAACCGAGCGAACGUUGUUCGGAAUCACUGGGCUUAAAGGGCGCGUAGGCGGGCAUCAUAGUCUGUGGUGAAAUCCGGCAGCUUAACUGUCGAAUUGCCAUGGAUACUGGGUGUCUCGAGGGAGGCAGGGGUGCGCGGAACUAAUGGUGGAGCGGUGAAAUGCGUUGAUAUCAUUAGGAACUCCGGUGGCGAAGGCGGCGCACUGGUCCUUUUCUGACGCUGAGGCGCGAAAGCCAGGGGAGCAAACGGGAUUAGAAACCCCCGUAGUCC